CCUGGACCUUGACUAUGAAACA
rnacentral:miRNA from 1 species